GUAUGUAUGUAUGUAUUCUGCAGUUGCCUUGAAUUGCCUUCUUUACUAUUCUCUUGGUCUCUUUUAUUUCCAAAAUUUCAAAGAUAGAGCAGUCUAUAUCUUGAAGCAGAGUCGAUGUGAAAUAGGUUCAAAAGAGAAGGGUUUUAUAUCUGAAUCUUUCUGCACGUAUGCGUCAAAUUAGGAGUAGAAGAGAUGAUGAUGUAUCCCUGACACAGAAACUAAUUUUUCUCUCUUUAUAAGGAGAUUGCCACGGCAAGGCUACUAAUUAAGUAAAUAAUCAAGGCUAUGAAAAAUUGAGGGACGUUGUCUAAUAAUUUAUAAGAUGAACAACCCAAGAAAAAAGUACGGUUAUGUAGUCAUGCAAGCCUGCGGAUUUCUGUUUUACAAUGCCGGGCAUCACUUGAAUCAUAGAUAAGUUUGCAUUUUUUAUAAGAAAGUUGCUUAGGUGUGUUUCUUGACACAGUUUUAUUGUUUAUAAUUACUUUUGGUUUUGGUGGUUAAUUGGCUAUGUCACUUUGCAAUAUCUGAGUAAAUUGGAUAAUUAUUAAUUCCGGUUGAAUG